rnacentral:lncRNA from 10 species
ACGGGACACCUGCAUCUGCCAACAAGACUGGAAGCAGGUGAGGCACACAGAGGGGGAGGCCCGCAGCUGCGUGGGAGGAGGGGUGGUCUGAGGGACGUGGGAUGCCGGGAAUGAGGCUGGUUUGCAGGUUGGCGCAUGGACAUUUUCCCAGAAAGGGACAGAGACGGCGAAGUUUGACGGUCUGGAAAGCAGAGACCAGCAGGGCUGACUGCUUGGGAGCGCCUCUCGGGAGGUCCGAGAAGAGAACCGCGAUCUGUUUCAGCACCGGGGCUCAGGACAGUUCCCAGCGGGCUCCGUUUCGUCUCCAGAACCCUGGACAGCUCCUCCAGUAGAGACGGGGUUUCACCAUGUUGGCCAGGCUGGUCUCAAACUCUUGACCUCUUCAUCCGUCCACCUCAGCCUCCCAAAGUGCUAGGAUUACAGGCGUGAGUCACUGCGCCUGGCCCAAGUCCGGAAUUUUCAACAGGACAUGGGUGUUACUGUGCCCAUGUGACAUUUGGGGAACCCAAGGCCCUGAGAAAGGCAGAAAAAUAACCCACGCAGGGACUCUCAGCCCACAAGUGAAGCUAUCAGACCCUGCUUCUCUCCAGGAGAACCGGGAAUGGAAAACAGGGAGGCAGCACAGAGGCAGGAAACUCAGGUGUCAUAGCUUGGCUCAGCUUGGAAUGCACUCCCUCCACCUCCAACCAGAGCUCCCCACAACUGACCCUGCCUUCUUCUGCAAGCUCCAUUUCAUCAAGGGAAACGAUCCUUAUUGCCUCACCAUUUCCCACGUGAAGUCUGUAUUGACAUUCUCAUAGACCUGGGAUAUUGUGUCUGCAGCACAUAGUCCAAUUAUUUUCAUGUUAUCUACUGACAGGUCUAUUUGUCUCCCUGUUACACUGUGAGCUCCGUGAGGGCAGAAACAAUGUUAGUAUUUUCACUGCUGUGUCCCCAGCGCCUGGUCCGGGGCCCGGCACACAGCAGGCAUAUAAUAAGCAUGUGUUGAAUCAAUAAAGGCAUCAAAGAAUAAA